GACAGAGGGUGCAAACGUUGUUCGGAAUUACUGGGCGUAAAGCGCGUGUAGGCGGCUUCGCAAGUCGGAUGUGAAAUCCCACGGCUCAACCGUGGAAGUGCAUUCGAAACUGCAAGGCUAGAGUUCUGGAGAGGAAGGUGGAAUGCUUGGUGUAGAGGUGAAAUUCGUAGAUAUCAAGCGGAACACCGGUGGCGAAGGCGGCCUUCUGGACAGUG
rnacentral:rRNA from 1 species